GGAUGGAGGAAAGAGAGAGAUAGGGGAGGAGAAGUGAGAGAGCCAGAGAGGAGAUACCGAGAAGAAGAUAAGAUAGGGACGAAGGGAGUCUAGACUUUGGAGUGAGGUUGGGCCAAUAAUAAUGCUUUGUUUGGAAGUUGUGGAUCGAUGACUACAAAUUUUUAGAUCUUGUUGAGAUACCGAGAAGAAGAUAAGAUAGGGACGAAGGGAGUCUAGACUCUGGAGUGAGGUUGGGCCAAUAAUAAUGCUUUGUUUGGAAGUUGUGGAUCGAUGACUACAAAUUUUUAGAUCUCGUUGAGAUCUACAACUUUGAUAUAAAGUUUAUCUUCAUCUGAAAUGAUAUGAAAAGGUAAUGAUUUUUUUUGCACGGAAUAAUUUCUAGGAUCAGGUCAUGCCAUCACCCACACCUAGAAAUGAUUUACAGGGCGGGUGACGCCCUAGAAAUUAUUUUCACGUACAGGUGAUGCCAUACACACCCCUACAAUUAUUUUUCCAUUUUUGUUUUUCUUUUAAAAUAUAUUAUUGAGCUAUUAAAUAAUUUAAAAUGUAAAAGUUGUCAACUAUAAAGUUUUAUGUCUCGUCGAGUUCUACAAUUUUGAUAUAAAAUUUGUAUUCAUCCGAGAUGACAUGAAAAAGUUUGUAUUAAAAAAAUACAUCUAUUAAACUCAUUCACAUAUACUUGUACAUUAACAUAUACUCACGCAUGUACUUAUUUAUCUAUUAUAUACUUAUAUACAUUUAGAUCUCGUUGAGUGUUACAACUUUCAUAUAGAGCUUCUCUAUAACCGAAGACCUUUGAAAAUUAAAAUUUGUAGAUUUCAAAAUUAAAGAACUUAUAAUAACAUUUUAGAGUAAUAAACAAUCUCAAAUGAAA
rnacentral:lncRNA from 1 species